ensembl:lncRNA
CACGUUAUGAAAUCCUUUCAUUUUGAAAACAGCCGCCCCGCUCUGUCACAUUUUAAUUUAGGCUAGCAUUUUGACCAAUAGCUACUAGACCAGACGCACGAGUAGAAGGCUAAGAUUAAAAUCUUCGCAUUUGAUGAAACAAACGUCUUCUCAUCGUCCAUUGAGGCGGAAAGCUGCACAGACGGACCUGCCGCCACUGGCCGCUCUCUGGGCUCGGCUCGCCAGGUCUGCUGGACUCCCCUUACCACAGACCCAGCCGCCCAGUCACCCACAGCCCGCCCCAGACCAGCCUGUGUGGUGCCAACGUCCGACCCUUCCAACCGACACCAACGGUCAGCUGGCAAUAUGGUCCCUCCUCUGUAUUUUUCUCAAGAGAAAGUGCCCAUGAGGUUGACAGUAUUUGGGAGGGGGGAGGGAGGUGGGGUCACUAAGAAGCAAGUCGUUUUUUCUGGUUUUGGGGUUGAAAAUUGGGAUGAUGGGAAGAGAUGGAUUGCUAAUCUCAGAUCUUGUCACCAGCUAAAUCAUCUCUUCUUUAAGCUUGCUUCCCCAUGGAUACAUCUCUGUUUGCUUUCUCAGAUGGGUUAAAAUAUCUCCAGAUCAGCUGGUUUCCAUGCAUGCCCUUCCUCUUCCUUGUCUUUCGCUAGCAGCGCACGAAUGGGCUCCAACUGAAAUUAGGCCACUUUUCCCUCACUGACACACCUAGUCUGAGAGGCCAGCUGCUCCUACCCCAACGGUGUUUUGCAAAGCUCAUGUCUAACAGUUUUUUUUUCAGUGGCUUUGGCACAUUUCUAUCAAGUUAUCGUUAUAUCAACCAUAUGCUUAAUCAGUUUCCGUGACAUGGUAUUUCUGGAAUUUGCUAAAUUACGUGUCAUUCAAACCUUGAUUGUUUACAUGUGAUUGAUUAGGAUUGAUUCAAUUUGUUCAAAGGCAAAUGAGUGUAAAACCUCAUAGGCCACCAAGCCCGAGUGGAUGUGCCAAGCCAGCAUGAGGGAAAACCCAUUAGUGAGACACUGUAUUAGACAACAAUAACAGGAUAUCAUUUUAUAUUGACAUCAGGACUGAGCAUUUUGACUGUCUUGCUUACAAACCAUGACAGAAGGUCAUGUUCAUUGACGUAAUUAUCUACUGUUGAGACAUAAACUAAGAAUUUUGAGCAAGUUACUGACGUCUGCUGCUAAUCCAUGGUGUGGUGCUGUUUGUGCAAAUUGUUUUGAGAAAUGCACUUAAGUUAAGGAUUAUUCAAAAAAGUGUACUGAAGCAACUGAAUAAAACUGCAAAAGUUUACCCCUCCUUCUGCCCU